GGAGAGGUGUCCGAGCUGGCCGAAGGAGCUCGCCUGCUAAGCGAGUGUGCGCCUUAAAAGUGCACCGAGGGUUCGAAUCCCUCCCUCUCCGCCA
rnacentral:tRNA from 1 species